ensembl:lncRNA
UUUGCUGAAAAGAAACCACUACUAAAGGACACCAAUAAUAAUAAGAAGAAACCACUACUAAAGGACACCAAUAAUAAUACGAAGAAACCACUACUAAAGGACACCAAUAAGAAGAAGAAGAAACCACUACUAAAGGACACCAAUAAUAAGAAGAAACCACUACUAAAGGACACCAAUAAGAAGAAGAAACCACUACUAAAGGACACCAAUAAUAAGAAGAAACCACUACUAAAGGACACCAAUAAGAAGAAGAAACCACUACUAAAGGACACCAAUAAGAAGAAGAAACCACUACUAAAGGACACCAAUAAGAAGAAGAAACCACUACUAAAGGACACCAAUAAGAAGAAGAAACCACUACUAAAGGACACCAAUAAUAAUAAGAAGAAACCACUACUAAAGGACACCAAUAAUAAGAAGAAGAAACCAUUACUAAAGGACACCAAUAAGAAGAAGAAGAAACCACUACUAAAGGACACCAAUAAGAAGAAGAAACCACUACUAAAGGACACCAAUAAGAAGAAGAAGAAACCACUACUAAAGGACACCAAUAAGAAGAAGAAGAAACCACUCCUAAAGGACACCAAUAAGAAGAAGAAACCACUACUAAAGGACACCAAUAAGAAGAAGAAACCCCUACUAAAGGACACCAAUAAGAAGAAGAAACCACUACUAAAGGACACCAAUAAGAAGAAGAAACUACUACUAAAGGACACCAAUAAGAAGAAGAAACCACUACUAAAGGACACCAAUAAGAAGAAGAAACCACUACUAAAGGACACCAAUAAGAAGAAGAAACCACUACUAAAGGACACCAAUAAGAAGAAGAAACCACUACUAAAGGACACCAAUAAGAAGAAGAAACCACUACUAAAGGACACCAAUAAGAAGAAGAAACCACUACUAAAGGACACAAAUAAGAAGAAGAAACCACUACUAAAGGACACCAAUAAUAAGAAGAAACCACUACUAAAGGACACCAAUAAGAAGAAGAAACCACUACUAAAGGACACCAAUAAGAAGAAGAAACCACUACUAAAGGACACCAAUAAGAAGAAGAAACUACUACUAAAGGACACCAAUAAUAAGAAGAAACCACUACUAAAGGACACCAAUAAGAAGACGAAACCACUACUAAAGGACACCAAUAAGAAGAAGAAACCACUACUAAAGGACACCAAUAAUAAUAAUAAGAAACUACUACUAAAGGACACCAAUAAUAAGAAGAAACCACUACUAAAGGACACCAAUAAGAAGAAGAAACCACUACUAAAGGACACCAAUAAGAAGAAGAAACUACUACUAAAGGACACCAAUAAGAAGAAGAAACCACUACUAAAGGACACCAAUAAGAAGAAGAAACUACUACUAAAGGACACCAAUAAGAAGAAGAAACCACUACUAAAGGACACCAAUAAGAAGAAGAAACUACUACUAAAGGACACCAAUAAGAAGAAGAAACCACUACUAAAGGACACCAAUAAGAAGAAGAAACUACUACUAAAGGACACCAAUAAGAAGAAGAAACCACUACUAAAGGACACCAAUAAGAAGAAGAAACCACUACUAAAGGACAACAAUAAGAAGAAGAAACCACUACUAAAGGACACCAAUAAGAAGAACAAACCACUACUAAAGGACACCAAUAAGAAGAAGAAACUACUACUAAAGGACACCAAUAAUAAGAAGAAACCACUACUAAAGGACACCAAUAAGAAGACGAAACCACUACUAAAGGACACCAAUAAGAAGAAGAAACCACUACUAAAGGACACCAAUAAUAAGAAGAAGAAACUACUACUAAAGGACACCAAUAAUAAGAAGAAACCACUACUAAAGGACACCAAUAAGAAGAAGAAACCACUACUAAAGGACACCAAUAAGAAGAAGAAACUACUACUAAAGGACACCAAUAAGAAGAAGAAACCACUACUAAAGGACACCAAUAAGAAGAAGAAACCACUACUAAAGGACACCAAUAAGAAGAAGAAACCACUACUAAAGGACACCAAUAAGAAGAAGAAACCACUACUAAAGGACACCAAUAAGAAGAAGAAACUACUACUAAAGGACACCAAUAAGAAGAAGAAACCACUACUAAAGGACACCAAUAAGAAGAAGAAACCACUACUAAAGGACACCAAUAAGAAGAAGAAACCGCUACUAAAGGACACCAAUAAGAAGAAGAAACCACUACUAAAGGACACCAAUAAGAAGAAGAAACCACUACUAAAGGACACCAAUAAGAAGAAGAAACCACUACUAAAGGACACCAAUAAGAAGAAGAAACCACUACUGAAGGACACCAAUAAUAAGAAGAAACCCCUACUAAAGGACACCAAUAAGAAGAAGAAACCACUACUAAAGGACACUAAUAAGAAGAAGAAACCACUACUAAAGGACACUAAUAAGAAGAAGAAACCACUACUAAAGGACACCAAUAAUAAGAAGAAACCCCUACUAAAGGACACUAAUAAGAAGAAGAAACCACUACUAAAGGACACCAAUAAGAAGAAGAAACCACUACUAAAGGACACCAAUAAGAAGAAGAAACCACUACUAAAGGACACCAAUAAGAAGAAGAAACCACUACUAAAGGACAACAAUAAGAAGAAGAAACCACUACUAAAGGACACCAAUAAGAAGAAGAAACCACUACUAAAGGACACCAAUAAGAAGAAUAAACUACUACUAAAGGACACCAAUAAGAAGAAGAAACCACUACUAAAGGACACCAAUAAUAAGAAGAAGAAACUGCUUGGGCCAAGAAACACGAGCAAUGGACAUUAA